CAGGAUUCCCUCCCAAGCUCUAUCCACACACCUCUGUGGCCUUCAGGAGUCCAUUGAGAAUCCCAGAGGCUCAAUUCUCUCAGCUAUAAAGUCAAGAGCUUCACAUCUUUAAGCCCCAUGGCCUAUCUCCAUGGCGUGUGCCCUACUGUCUGAAACUGCCCCCAUCCACACAGCCCUUCUGCUGACUCUAGAACAUUCCAUAUGCCCCACUCCAAGCCACCCCCAAGUGCGAAGACUCAGGGAAACUUCCCCUUACAAGGGCGUGUCUCCUCUACCACCUCCAGCUGCUAAACUCACCCGCUCACCUGAAGAACGUGAGAUGAGGGUCACUGGGGGUGAUCUGUUUCAUUCACAAGGCCUGGAGCUUCGUGAGGGAACAGAGAACCA